rnacentral:rRNA from 1 species
GACGAACGCUGGCGGCGUGCUUAACACAUGCAAGUCGAACGGAAAGGCCCUGCUUUCGUGGGGUGCUCGAGUGGCGAAGGGGUGAGUAACACGAGUGUAACCUGCCCUUGUCUUUGGGAUAACUUCAGGAAACUGGGGCUAAUCCCGGAUAGGAGCUCCUGCUGCGUGGUGGGGGUUGGAAAGUUUCGGCGGUUGGGGAUGGACUCGCGGCUUAUCAGCUUGUUGGUGGGGUAGUGGCUGACCAAGGAUUUGACGGGUAGCCGGCCUGAGAGGGUGACCGGCCACAUUGGGACUGAGAUACGGCCCAGACUCCUACGGGAGGCAGCAGUGGGGAAUAUUGCACAAUGGGCGGAAGCCUGAUGCAGCAACGCCGCGUGCGGGAUGACGGCCUUCGGGUUGUAAACCGCUGUCGCCUGUGACGAAGCGUGAGUGACGGUAAUGGGUAAAGAAGCACCGGCUAACUACGUG